UCUGAACGAUCUUGCAAAUCAUCAUGGGGCUUGUAGUGUGGGCUACAGUGCGUGUUACAAUGGGUAUCACAACUUUAUUUUUGUCUUUUAAAAAUUACCUUAGAUUUAAGUACGGAUUGGGUGCGUUUACCAAGUAAUUGAGUAAUGCAAAGCUGAAAUUGCUCCCAUGAAGAAGUAAUCGCGAGUAAUCGUAGAUCAUUAGUGCUACGGUGAAGGUAAGCCUUAUCGUGUACACAUUGCCCGUCACCUUAGGCAAUAGUAUUGUACAGGAAGAAACUCAGCAACACCCUCGGGUCGCAGUUAAGGGACUAAUGCGUGAUACUAGAGUUUAAGUAAGUCGUAACAAGGUUGCGGUAGUGGAAGCUGCUGCAGUGUUAAAUAAAUAAUAU
rnacentral:rRNA from 1 species